UGUCCGUGUACCACUUCAGACACUUUAGACACGUUCUUUCUUGGCUGUGCCACCAUCACACAUCAACUCAUUCUAAAAGGAACUAACUGCAUUGCCUUUUGGAACAGAUUUUCAACCACAGAAGAGUUGGCUUUACCUCCUAAUGACUGUUCAUGGUAUACUCGCUAAAUCCCAGGUUUCAAAAGCAAACUUGAAUCCAGGGUCACCAAAAAUCCAAGAGAAAUGAGAGCAUCAAGUGGUCUCAGGAACCAUACAUGCAUGUGAAAUCUUCCUAUGACCACACCAUGAACUCCUAAUGACCCAGAAAGCCACUGAGAAGCAAAACCUGGAGUCAACAUUCCAUAAUCGUGAUAGACGCCAUUACUGGAUUGAGACAAAAAGAUGGAAUCAAGACAACCGAGAUUAAUCAUCGCAAAUCUCCUUUUUCCAUUUUCUAGUCUUGUGUGUUGCACGGUGCGCCUGUAUCAUCUACUCCUCCGUAUCUACUGCAAUGCCCUCCUCCUGCCAGAGGAAUUAUUUUCCAGUUGAUCAGCCACUUCAUACCAUCUAUUUUCAAACGGAUCCCAUCUCUUUCUUGUUUCUGAGAAUUUCCAUCACACCUCUGCCGAAGCGUGUUCUCAGCUGAUUUUCGUGGCGGGAAUGUAGUCUCUCUGGGACAUCCUGAUCCUUCCUUCUGAUGGUCUCCUUCCAUAGCUUGUGAACUUUUCUCUUUGGGUUUUUCUUGAGGGAAGGCUGGGGCACACUCUGAGCUAUGGACGCCCUCCUUCAGGCACAGGGCACACUCUGAGCUAUGGACGCCCUCCUUCAGGCACACCCGUUGAGUGUUUGCAGCUAUGGCUUGGUGGGUCCCAUUGUACUUAUUACCUAGUCAAUAGCUCAGGUCUCCACUGCUCCACUCAGCCAUGGUCUUCCCGGUAAACCUGAUUCCACCACAGGCCAGAGCAAUCAGUCAACUUUAAGGAGGGGUGAGGGAGGGAUGGCAUUUCAUCUUAUGCUUGAUAAAUCCAUCAGCACAGGAAGUCAAGGCAGGGACCUGAAGGCAAGAUCUAAAGCAGAGACCAGCUUGCCUUGCAGCCAAUUCUCUGCCAGAACUACACAAUCUGCCUUCUGACAAACAGUUUGAAAUCAUUUAAAGUUUCCAUCCUAGCCAGGCAUGGUGAUUCACGCUGAUAAGCCUUACACUAAAGCUGGGGUAAGAGGAUCACCCCAGGUGAUUCAAGGCCAGGUAGGUACACAGGGUGAGUUUGGGAUCAACUAGGGCUGCAGGGUGAGCUACUGUUUAAAAUAACAAUGAAACAAAUAAAGAUACAAAUGUAUGCAGAAGUGAAA